rnacentral:tRNA from 1 species
GGUCCUAUAGUGUAGUGGUUAGCACACGAGACUUUGACUCUUGAGACCUGGGUUCAAUUCCCAGUAGGACCU